rnacentral:rRNA from 1 species
GAUUAAUGAUCAUGGCUCAGAUUGACCGCUGGCNUAAGGCCUAACACAUGCAAGUCGAGCGGCAGCACAAGUAAGUUUACUUAUAGAGGUGGCGAGCGGCGGACGGGUGAGUAAUGCCUAGGGAUCUGCCCAGUCGAGGGGGGUAACAGUUGGAAACGACUGCUAAUACCGCAUACGCCCUACGGGGGAAAGAGGGGGACCUUCGGGCCUCUCGCGAUUGGAUGAACCUAGGUGGGAUUAGCUAGUUGGUGAGGUAAUGGCUCACCAAGGCGACGAUCCCUAGCUGUUCUGAGAGGAUGAUCAGCCACACUGGGACUGAGACACGGCCCAGACUCCUACGGGAGGCAGCAGUGGGGAAUAUUGCACAAUGGGGGAAACCCUGAUGCAGCCAUGCCGCGUGUGUGAAGAAGGCCUUCGGGUUGUAAAGCACUUUCAGUAGGGAGGAAAGGGUGAGUCUUAAUACGGCUCAUCUGUGACGUUACCUACAGAAGAAGGACCGGCUAACUCCGUGCCAGCAGCCGCGGUAAUACGGAGGGUCCGAGCGUUAAUCGCGAAAUUACUGGGCGUAAACGCGUGCGCAGNGCGGUUNGUUAAAGCGAAGACAAAGUGGAAAAACCCCNUGGGCGNCCACAACCCCUUAAGGAAAUNAACGCGCAUUUCCAAAACCUGGGGCGAAACCAGCAANCCUGGACAGACAGGCGGGNUCGCANUCCCAGGAGGGAAGCCGGCACAANGCGUAGAGAACCGGAGAACAACCGGGGGGCNACAAGGCGGCCCCCUGGACAAGACUGGGCUGCGAAGAUGUGNAGGCACACAG